CAGCAGCCGCGGUAAUACGUAGGUGGCAAGCGUUGUCCGGAAUUAUUGGGCGUAAAGGGCUCGCUGGCGGUUUCUUAAGUCUGAUGUGAAAGCCCCCGGCUCAACCGGGGAGGGUCAUUGGAAACUGGGAGACUUGAGUGCAGAAGAAGAGAGUGGAAUUCCACGUGUAGCGGUGAAAUGCGUAGAGAUAUGGAGGAACACCAGUGGCGAAGGCGACUCUCUGGUCUGUAACUGACGCUGAGGAGCGAAAGCGUGGGAAGCGAACAGGAUUAGAUACCCCUGUAGUCCCUGUCUCUUAUAA
rnacentral:rRNA from 1 species